UCCACAGGGUCCACUCCCUGCCAUCUCCCUGGCCCCUCUUUCAGUCUUCCCAUGUCUGAGACAGACAGACUGUCAGACUGACUGAAAAGGACAAACACAGGGUCUGGGGGAGCCCUUGCCUGUUGGGGUCCCCAUGCACAGCGGCUUACCACCUUUCCCGAACCUCAUAAUCCCAAAGCCUCUUGUUUCAGUGAGCUGGGGUGGGGGUGAGUCUGAGUGGCCCUCAGCUCAGGCAGAAGUCCACGGGUUAGUAGCCACAACCCAAACCUGGGACAGAUCAUCCCGCUUUCCGGUGACUUGGAUCUGACAAGGGGGAGGGGGAGGGAGAUUACCCUAGACCCCUGGCCUCUGGCUGGGAGAGCCCAGAACUGAGGGCUCCCCACAAGGGCUGGGGUCAGCUGAGCCCCUAGCUGAGUCGCUGUCCUGUGACUCCAGGUGUCCUUCAUUCCUCCUCCCAAAAUUGAUGGUGAUGCUGAGCAAGCCCCAGAGGGAGGAGCCAGUUGUAGGCUGGGGUGGAAGGAAGUCUCCUUGGACAGCACUGGACAGACGGACAGGUGUGCCAGCUGCCCUGCCCCACUAAUUCUAGCCCAGCCUUGGAACUUCUGCAUGUGGAGGCCACUCAGGGUCUAUAGGGAAAAACUGAGAAGUAGAGUGCAAGUUCAUCCAACUCAUAAACAGUGGAGCUUUGAUUUGAACCCAGGCGGCACUGUGACUCCAGAGCCCACACUCUCUACCCUUUGCUGUCUGUAUGCUCAUGGGUGGGUGGCUGAGGCGAUCCUCCCUAGGUGACCAUGGAGCGGGAUGUGUGCCCGUGAAAUGCAUGAGGGCAUACUCGUGUGUGACACCAACACCCAGCACCGUGCCUGGCACAUAGUGCAUCUUAUUAAAUGUUUGAGGAAUGAGUGAG